rnacentral:rRNA from 1 species
CACCGCGGUUAUACGAGAGACCCAAGUUGUUAGACACCGGCGUAAAGAGUGGUUAAGUACUAUUACUUACUAAAGCCGAACACCUUCAAAGCUGUUAUACGCACCUGAAGAUAGGAAGUUCAACCACGAAAGUGGCUUUAUAUUUACUGAACCCACGAAAGCUAGGGCACAAACUGGGAUUAGAUACCCCACUAUGCCUAGCCUUAAACAUUGAUGGCACCCUACAACUGUCAUCCGCCCGGGUACUACGAGCACCAGCUUAAAACCCAAAGGACUUGGCGGUGCUUUAGACCCACCUAGAGGAGCCUGUUCUAGAACCGAUAACCCCCGUUCAACCUCACCCUUCCUUGUUUUACCCGCCUAUAUACCACCGUCGUCAGCUUACCCUGUGAAGGUCUAAACAGUAAGCAAAAUUGGCAUAGCCCAAAACGUCAGGUCGAGGUGUAGCGUAUGGAAGGGGAAGAAAUGGGCUACAUUCCCUAAUUCAGCGCAUACGAACGACACACUGAAAUACGUAUCCGAAGGAGGAUUUAGCAGUAAGCAGAAAAUAGAGUGUUCCACUGAAACCGGCCCUGAAGCGCGCACACACCGCCCGUCACUCUCCCCGAACUUACAUUCACAAGUAAAUAAAACCCUACAAUUACAAAGGGGAGGCAAGUCGUAA